GUAAAACCAUGCGAGAUCAUCCAUUGAUUUAAGUUAUAAAACAAAAGUAACACAACAUAGUCUCAAGGCGUUGACUCAUGCAACGGAAACUACAACCUGAAAACAUAAAAACAUUGUUUGAAAGACACAAACAUCAACAUGAAAUAAACGCAGUUUAAGGACUGUGACUCGUCCAGGUAAAAGUCACAUCCCCUAAACUUGGAUGACCUCAUAACUCUUAUGCAGCGGGAAAACGUAACAUACCGCGCCAGAUCUUUAGUUCCCUGAAAUACAUGUAAGUUGGAAAAAUCAACAAUAAUGUUGAGCGAGUUCAUGUGUAAGUGAGUAAUAAAACCUUUGUAAGAUGUCUGUAUGUAUGAAAAUUCCUGGUAUGUAGCAAUAAGGAAAAAGAGAUCAAUUAAUGUGUAGCUAAUACAUUAAUAAGUGAAAUGGCCUAGGAAGCACUCAAACCUGUAACGCGUAUUUCAUACCGGUCCUUCCGGCGGAACGACAUAGUCACCACAUGCAGCCGCACGCUGGCUCAUGUGUGGGGCUUGCAACACCCGAUAGAUCUAUCACUCAUGCCUCUCGGUCCUUAUACAAGGAUUAAUGGUCUUACGAUAAUAGCCUACCCAUUCACAUGAUCUAGGUAAUAACCCUCCUUACGCUAUCCAUACCAUGUAAAAAGUACUUGUAAUCAUAGUAACAUGUAUUUCACCCCCGCAGUUUAGAAAACUGAAAACAGUAAAGAGAAAAAGGGGGACAUGAACUCACCGAAGUGCGUCUCUAAAAAGUAUCUCCCAGUCAACCUGCUGUGCGACGACCUACACGUACUCACUUCUAUUAGACGGACGGGCGUGCCUUAGCUUUAGGGUUAAUGUCUUUGGGAAAUAGUUAGGCAACUAUUUCGUAAUCACACUUCGGAAUUAUUUGGUAAAUAUAUUCCUUCCUAAGGAUGGGGGUUUUAAUACAUGUGCGUUUAUACAAUUCCAAGACUUUAUUAUUAAGUCCCACUUAAUAAAUAUACUCUAAUUCUUUUGUCCAAAAUAUUCUAUCUCCAAAAUAUAAAUAUCUUUCCCAAAAAUAUUAUAUUUUAUUUCAUUUGUCUAAAAUACUCUACUUCCAAAAUAUAAAUAUUUUUCCCAAAAAUAUUAUAUUUAUUCCAUAUAAUUUUUCCCCAAAAUAACACUCGUCAAAAUACACACUUAUGUGUAUUUUCUAAAAAUGCGUGAGUUAUGUUUAAAGAUCGGGUGGUAUUAAUAAUACUGUUGUAACUCAUUUAUUGUGAAGGCGUUCGUAUUAUUUUGGAGUUGUUAACAUUCGGUAAUAUUAUUUUUACUCUAAAAAUAAUAUUUAGAUAGUUUGCAAAAUAAUCACAAUAAUUUACGCAAGUGUUGUUAUGAAAAUAUAUAUUCUAAAUAUAUAUUUUAGCAAGUUCAUUUGUGAAAAUCCCACCUCCGACACUUAAAAAGUUUUGUAAUAAAAAUCGUGGCGAAAGUUAUUCGGGAAAACAAGUUAAAAUAUAGUCAUAACACUUGUGAUAAAAAUAUUUACAAGUGUUAGAUAUUUGGAAAAAUUUCGCCAGAGUUUCCCCUGUAACUGGAGGUGGCCACGCUUUCAAGCUUAUCAUUUUCUUUUAAAAUUCAAAUCAACAAUUUUCUCGAUCAACAAUAAACAAUAUUCAAACCAUCAAACUAGUCAAAAUAGAUAUAAAUCGCGAAAAUACAUGAACUUGUGGUUUGUGUAAGAUAUGUAGUAACUUUCCCCAUAUUUUAGUAGAUCUUUUAUAAGUAGACUCGGUUUCUUUGAGAACCUUGUUCUUAAAGAAGAUACAUUUCUAUAACUUCUUGUCCAAAAUUUAUAAAAAUAAUUCUUUGUUAAAACUUUUUGUUACACAAGUGUCUACACACUUGUGUGUUCACAAAAAUCACUUUUGUUUAGGAAGGAUCCGGCUUUAAAAUUAUGAUUUCAUUUUACACUUGGUCCUUCGAAAAUACCACUUGUAGAUCUUUAGAUCUACUAGUUUAGAAUUCCAUUUCAUAAGAAAAAAUGUUUUUACACAAGUUCAUGGUUAUAAGUAGUAGUGUUCUUCAUCUAACCACUUUUCACACUUUAACAUACACUAGGUCAUGUUCCAUGAACAUGACUUAGCCGGGUUAGAUGACGACCCGAACUAACACUAGCAUAAAACAAUACUAAAUAAUCAUAACAAAACAAGUCUUAUAAGUUUUACACCAAUAUUCAUCUAUUAACCACUUUGUUUAUAUUAUUUAGUAGACUUUUAAAUUUUGUUCUAACAUGUUCAUAAAUUUCAACCGACAAAAUUCUUAUUACCCACUUUAGAUAUGAAGAAAAAGGCGUUUAGAGUUACUUACUACUAGCUCGAGGCUAGGGAAGAAACUAGUCGAAAAACGAGUGGUUAAUAGCAACGUAGAGAGGUCCUUAGCAAUCCGCAAGCACCGGGCUUCCUCGUAUGUGACCCUUCACACUUGUAUGUAUGUAGAAUGAUGGAAUAAGAUCAAAUAAUAGUGGACAUGCCUGUUGAUCCUGAUUGGUGGUGGAGCUUCUUGGUCUCGGCCGAGAGUUAUCAAAGAAAGAAAGAGAAUGAAAAAAAAGUGUGUUAACUUUGAAGUGGAU
rnacentral:lncRNA from 1 species